rnacentral:rRNA from 1 species
GAGUUUGAUCAUGGCUCAGAUUGAACGCUGGCGGCAGGCCUAACACAUGCAAGUCGAGCGGCAGCACGGGGAGCUUGCUCCCUGGUGGCGAGCGGCGGACGGGUGAGUAAUGCAUGGGAAUCUGCCCGGUAGUGGGGGAUAACCCGGGGAAACCCGGGCUAAUACCGCAUACGUCCCACGGGAGAAAGCAGGGGAUCUUCGGACCUUGCGCUAUCGGAUGAGCCCAUGUCGGAUUAGCUUGCUGGUGAGGUAACGGCUCACCAGGGCGACGAUCCGUAGCUGGUCUGAGAGGAUGAUCAGCCACACCGGGACUGAGACACGGCCCGGACUCCUACGGGAGGCAGCAGUGGGGUAUAUUGGACAAUGGGGGAGACCCUGAUCCAGCCAUGCCGCGUGUGUGAAGAAGGCUUUCGGGUUGUAAAGCACUUUCAGCGGGGAAGAAGGCAUGGCGGCUAAUACCCGCCAUGAAAGACAUCACCCGCAGAAGAAGCACCGGCUAACUCCGUGCCAGCAGCCGCGGUAAUACGGAGGGUGCAAGCGUUAAUCGGAAUUACUGGGCGUAAAGGGCGCGUAGGCGGCCUGCCAAGCCGGAUGUGAAAGCCCCGGGCUCAACCCGGGAACGGCAUUCGGAACUGGCAGGCUAGAGUGCAGGAGAGGAAGGUGGAAUUCCCGGUGUAGCGGUGAAAUGCGUAGAGAUCGGGAGGAAUACCAGUGGCGAAGGCGGCCUUCUGGACUGACACUGACGCUGAGGCGCGAAAGCGUGGGUAGCAAACAGGAUUAGAUACCCUGGUAGUCCACGCCGUAAACGAUGUCGACCAGCCGUUGGACCCCCU